rnacentral:rRNA from 1 species
UACGGAAUGUGCAAACGUUAUUCGGAAUCACUGGGCUUAAAGAGUCCGUAGGCGGCAUGUUAGGUGAGGUGUGAAAUCCCCCGGCUCAACCGAGGAAUUGCGCUUCAAACCGGCGUGCUAGAGGAAGAUAGAGGUGGGCGGAACUGAUGGUGGAGCGGUGAAAUGCGUUGAUAUCAUCAGGAACACCGGAGGCGAAAGCGGCCCACUGGGUCUUUUCUGACGCUGAGGGACGAAAGCUAGGGGAGCGAACGGG